GACAAAAUGAAGGGACAUUAGCAAUGCGAGAAGGAGAGGUGUUGUAUGUUAUUGAAGAAGAUAAAGGAGAUGGCUGGACAAGAACACGCAAACAGAAUGGACAAGAAGGCUAUGUGCCAACAUCAUAUGUAGAUAUUACUCUAGAGAAAAACAGUAAAGGUUCCUGAAUUGGUGUGUGGGUUCUUGAAACAUUGGGCGAGGCAUUGAAGGAGGUUGCAUGCAGCUGUUUUCUGGGUGGGGAAAGGCACUGGUUGAAAGGUUGAGGCUGGUAGAUGAGGAGGGAGGAGGAAACUGCAUGUUUGAUAUUUAUUUUGCUACUAACGCAAUUAACACAAUUCUAACUAUAGUUCACAUGGUGAAUCAACAGUACAGUAUUCCGUAGGUCUUAAUGCCAAAGGUUCAUCUGACCCGGGUGAAGUACAUUCAACAUGACUUUACCAUCAGAUAAUUUUUUGAAAAUAUAGUGCUGUCUGCCUGUGCCAUCCUACAUGCUCGCCCUAACAUGCUAUUGCAUGCUUUUGUAAAUCACGCUAAAUAUUCACUUCAGAAAUGUCUAGACUGUACUGUGGUUGACCUGUUUUGUUGUUGUGCAAUCCCCACAUUAUCUAGCUUAACUCCUUCUCCAGUGUUUCACAUUUGUAGUUCCAUUCCAUUUUUCAUUUGUGCUGCUACCAGUACUGCAUGGUAAUAGUGUUGUGUUGAUUACCAGUGUUGAGGAGGUCGGACAAACCUGUAGAUGCAACUUUUCAUUGUAUAUAGUUUAUGAAUUCUCCUCCCUCCUUGCUUUUGGCCCACAUAUUUCUUGUGUAUUGGAUUGAUCAUUGAAGUCUGAGUCAAUGGAAACACACCUGAAAAACAGCAUAGCUUCAGGAAAAUAAGAAUGACUCACUGUGAAGAGACACAACUGGGCAUAAACUUUGAGAGAUGUGUAUCAUGAACUCUGAGAAGACACACCAAUCAUUUAUCACUAUCUUACUAUACAGCUGCUGCCUUAAAUCAACUGUUUUAACAGAAGAGUGCCUAAAUUUGCUGACUGCCAUUGUUUCCAAUAGUCUUUUUUGAAGCAUACAUUUGUGCAGGCUCAUGGCAGCUCAUCAAUUUUGACUGACUUGUGUAUUCUCUCGGUACUGCAGCUGCUGAUGUAGUCAUACCUAGUGUAAAAAAAAUGUACCAGAGGAAGUGUGCAACUAAAAUUUCUGUCAAUAUUUAUAUUGUUUUUAAUACUAAAGGUUUGUAAUUGUUAACAAGAUUUAUUUCAAAUGAAUGUUUUUCAAUUAGAAUUUUGUAAUUUUUUCAUUGUUUGACUUUUAUGAAUAACAAGUUCACAGCUGAAUAGCUGUGCAGGUCCUCUAAUUUGGUGUGGUCACACAUCAAAAUGUGUGAAUAUAUUGACUCUUGUGGAUAUUGUAUGUAUGUAACCAAAACCAUGUGCACUUUUAUCCAGUUGAGCAGUAACGCGAGUGCGGAUAUUUUUUUCCUCCCAGAAUACUUAAAGCUGCAUCUGUUCAAACUUCAUUCUUGUGUUGAAAUCCAAACUAUAAUUUUAUUUCAAUGCUGUAAUAAAUGUACAAUCUUCGAUCAAUUUCAAGCCCACCCCAACCUUGGAAUUACCCAUCAGAAAUAUUCCUCAAAUUCAAAAAGAUUUGAUUGCUGAACCACUUGAAAUUUCAUCAAGUGGCGGAAGACACAUCUUCUCAUCAGUACCUUGAAACGAGCUAAGAUAUUUUAUGACUCAAAGCCCUGUGCUGCAGAGGGGACCAUUAGUGUUCAUUUGAAAAUUUGAAAUUUUAGUAAAACAGAGCAAAGGUGUGAUGGAUUAGGCAAAUAAGAAAUGUUGCUUUGACUCAAAUCUAUUUGCUUCUAUAUCAGGUUCAGUUACCUGUUUAGAAAUUACAAAUGUGAAACUAUCUUCAGUCUAUAUCCAUUCUAUUUGUUGCUGGAAACAGUAUACAUACUUUUACUUCCUGGUAUAACAUUUAAUGAUGUUUCCAGACCAAAUUGCACAUGCCAACUACAUAAAACGUUGCCUGACUCUUAUCUGCCAUUUACAAUGAUCAACGUGGGUUCCACUGACACUGAUAAAUAUGUGGAAACCUUCAAUUGCAAUAAAACUAAGACAUUUUCUGUUAAACUAUUCUUAAUUCUGUACCACUGUGGUUCCUGGUAAGUGAAUAUAAUUUCUGGCAGACUGAUUGCAGAGUUAACAAACAUACACUAAUUACCUUUAUAUGUUCAGAAAAAUUUGGAUGAAAUGAUUUUUCUAAAAACAACUUGCUUCAAAAAAUUCUGAAGUUUCCAUGCUUCCUUGUAUUCAAGUAUGUGUAUUUUUAAAGUGUUAGUUCACUAUAAAAUUGCAAUAUGGUGGCACAUAACCUUUUCAUUGUGCAUUUCUGAAGUAAACCACUAUUAAAAUAUUGGCAAUGGUAUGUUGAGUAUUCUUCCAAGUAGGCACUAAGUAGAUCUGACUUUUUACAGCAAUUUAACUGUGAAAGUUGUAGAAUGUAAUAGAAAAGCUACUUUUUCCAUAGCCGUAAAUCUGCAGUUAGGUAAGUGAAACAGACCGUUAUCCAGUAUGUAAUGUUGUAACGCUUUUGCUUUGUAUGUAAUUUUAGGUAUGCUGCUUUUUGUGAGGAAAUGUACAAAUAUAAGUAAAGAGGCAACAGAUUGAAGGAGAGUUUUUCUCUUGCACAUUACAAUUUUUUUCAAAUGUAUUCAGUGUGAGAGGAUCUAGUUAAAACUGUAACUGACAAGUUGUCAGACAAAGUAGAAUGUAGAGCGAAAAGCAACCAAGGUUUUGAAUUGAUGAUCCUUAUGCACAUGUUGAUUUUAAAAACACUGUUGAUAUACUGUUUAAAAUACUUUGUUGAGAACUGUUUAAAUAAAUUAAUGUAUUCCACACAG